GUACAAUUUAAUUACAAUUGUUCCCCCUCUCCUUGUCAGUGAUCUUCUUAGACAUUUAAUAAAAUUGCAAUAGUUUUGUAGAAUUGAAGACUGGAUGUGUUUUGUACUGAUAAAAUAUAUUCUCAGGGUUUUAUUUCUUGCCCUGCAGGAUGGACUUUGAUGAUGAAGAUGGAGAAGGGCCGAGCAAAUUUUCAAGGUAUGAUGAUGAUCAAAUGCCAGCUGAUAAAGAACGUUAUGCCAGAAAUGAGACAGAAUUCAAACCAAGCAUGCAGGAUACCACCAAGAUCCCACGGGAGGCAGCAAAAAUGAGUAGGUGGUCUUUACUUUCAUGCGGCAAUGUUUGAGUCAGUUAUGACGUUUGUGGGUCAAAG
ensembl:lncRNA